UCCUGAGCGCGUGUUUCAUCACGAUGUUGCGGAACUUCACCCCCUUGAGCCGGGCCGUUCGGAUAUAUUGCGCGGUCAUGACCUCGGCCAUCGAGGCGCGGGUCAUGCGGGCGAUGUAUCCCAUGCCGUAAAGCGCGAUGGUCAGAACGGGCAGGAAGAAAUUCUGGAAGGUGGCGUCU
rnacentral:ncRNA from 1 species